GACGAACGCUGGCGGCGUGCCUAACACAUGCAAGUCGAACGGACAGGCCCUGCUCUUGCUCGGUUCUCGUUUGGCGCACGCGUGUGUAAAACGCGAGUAACCCGUCCUUGACUUUGGGAUAACAUCUCGGAACAGGGGCUCUUAUCGGAUAGGAGAUCCUGCUCCACGUUGGUCGAUGGUAAAUUUCGGCGGUUGGGGCUGGACUCGAGGCUUAUCCGCUUGUUGGUGGGGUAGGGGCUUACCAAGGCUUCGACGGGUAGCCGGCCUGGGAGGUUGACCGGGCACAUGGGGACUAAGAGACGGCGCAGACGCCUACGGGAGGCAGCGGGGGGGAGUAUGGCACAAUGGGCGGAAGCCUGAUGCAGCAGCGCCGCGUGCGGGAUGACGGCCUACGGGUGGUAAACCGCUUUCGCCUGUGACGAAGCGUGAGUGACGGUAAUGGGGAAAGAAGCACCGGCUAACUACGU
rnacentral:rRNA from 1 species